UCUUCGUCGGGGUUUCGCAACGCGUCGCGAUUCUUCUAGUCCUGGGUAAAGAUUUUCCCAGAGAAUCCCUCUAGUGCCAGAGUGGCGUGAAUCGCAGUCCCGCGCACGUCCCAACGCCACCGCGCGUGAAACGUGCUGAUGCUUCCGUUAUAAGUUUGUGCUGCUUGCUGGUCGUGAAAUGGUUAUCGUUCAUACCAUUUUUUUUUUCGUGAAUGGCAUUCCGGCUGACGAUGAGUGAUGGCUAGUGGAAAUGUUCGUUCGAUGGCCAAGAUGACGACGAGGACGUCUCGCGCCUUAUUUUGAGCGGCAGCUAUAUAUUGGAGCGUUCAAGUGGGGGGGAAAAUAAAUAAGAAGAAAAAUAAGUGAAGGGGGAAAACCGUGCGAAAUUUGGCAAAAGUUGCGUUCGACCGUGAAUACGGAAUGUGUGACGAGUGACACGAAAAAGACGUGUGUGUUGUGUUCAAUGGAAAAGUAGGCAAAGUGAGUGCAUGCAAAACAAGAAGAGAAAAGAUUUAAACACAAACACGCUAGGAAGCAACAAGCAAACAAGUCUUGUUUUGGUGCGAAAGGAAAACGAAAUAUAUUACGAGGCACAACAAUGUUCUACCGUGACAACGUGGGAGCACCACGUGCAUGCUCAUCAAAUGUUGGCGGAAAAAAGUUGCAAAUCUGUGUCAUGUCAUCGUUCACCGGGGUGUUGACGGCGGUGGUUUUCGGCAUGCAAAUAAGUGUGUGGUGAAAAAUCCCGUCAGCACAUGUGGUUAUUGAUUUUUUUCUCCUGCCCACGUGA